UGUAGGGUAAUCUUUACUUGCCUCUUCUAGCUUCUGAUGGUUUGUUGGCAAUUUUUGGUGUUCUUUGGCCUGCAGUUACAUAACUCCAAUUUCUGCCCUCAUGACAUCUUCCCUCCUGCAUCUGUGUCUUCACAUGGCUGUGCUGUCUUCCUAUAAAGACAUCAAUCAUAUUGGAUUAGGGCCCAUCCUAAUGACCUCCUUUUAACUUGAUUACCUGUGUAAAAACCCAGGCUCUGAAGCCCAGAGGCAAAAGGACUACACCCAGGUCCACAGUGAGCUUGGAUUUAAGCCAGGAAUUCCUUUCAACUUUCAGCACAUGUCUAGUUGAGAAGAAAUAACUGGAGAUAGAGUAGUUCCCCUUUAUCCGCAGUGGAUACAUUCCAAGACCCCUAAUGGAUGCUUGAAACCUUGGAUGGUGUCUGCCUUUGUUCAUUUUCUGUUACUAGAAUACCACAGACUGGAGAAUUUAUAAAGAACAGAAGUUUAUUUGGCGCAUGGUUCUGGAGGCUGGGAAGUCCAAAAGCAUGGUGCAGGCAUCUGGCAAGGAUCACCUCAUAGCAGGAAGCAUCAUAUGGCAAAGGCUGGAAGCCCAAGAUCAAGGUGCCAGCAGGAUUGGCUUAUGGUGAGACCUCUUUCUUUGGCUUGGAGAUGACACCUUCUUUCUGUGUCCUCACAUGGACUCUUCUCUGGCAUAAGAAUAUGAGACAAGCAGCCACUGGCCCCUAAUGAGGAGAUUCAUGAAGACCUUAACCCAGCCUUCAGUCUGGAGCCUCCUUGAGCCUAGAUGGGCUAAGCUGAACCCCAGCCAACCUGCAGGCUCACAAGUAUGAAAAAUAAAUGUUUGUGAUGGUAAGCCAGUGAGAGUUGGGACUAUUACCCAGCCUUAUUGCAAUGGAAGCCUUGUUCAUACAGCGUUCCAGAGAGGACUUCUAUAAUCUCCUGCCUCAGACAUAAUUAAGGUAAGGAUCAAGACGAGAUCACACUGGAAAAGGUGGGCCCUAAAUCCAGUGAGAGGAUAGGAAGGCCAGCACUCUUAUUCUGUCCUAAUAAGAGACAGAGACGGGCACACAGAGACACAGAAGAAGGCCAUGUGUUGAUGGAGGCAGAGACUGGAGUGAUGCCGUCCCAAGCCAGGGAGUGCCUGGCUCCGCCAGGCACUGGAAGAGGCACUGAAUGGAUGCUUCUCGAGAGCCUUUGGAGGGAGCAUGACCCUGCUGACACCUUGAUUUUGCACUUCUGGCUUCUGGAACUAUGAGAGGGAGUCCUCUGUGGUAAACUGGUGGAGUCCAAAGCAAUUGUGUUUGACAAAUAAAACCGAAUGAUCUGGGUGAUGAAAACGUAAUAGCAAAAGACCAAUCCUGAAGAAUCCUCAGGGCCCGGGUGAGGAGGGAGGUGAAGCUCCAGCUCUGCUGUACCUAAAGUCUGACAAAUAAAAGUCCUGAGAAUGGA